GGGCCUAUAGCUCAUCUGGUAGAGCGCCGCUCUUGCAAAGCGGAGGCGGCCGGUUCGACUCCGGCUGGGUCCA
rnacentral:tRNA from 1 species